CACAGUCUGUAAACUGCCAUAAAACGCAACAGAAGAAGAAGAAAAAGAAGAAGCGUAAAAUUAGUAGCUUUGCUGCUGUUAAUUGUCGGGUUUCCAGCCGGGUUUACGGCCCACUUCACGCAGUUUAGAUCCAACAUGACACUCUGGUGGUUCCGCUGAUGUUCCGGUUUUGGACUCCGGUCCGGACAGUUCUCAAGAGGUUCUGCAGCGCUUCAGACAUGCCGAACCCGAAAGGAAAGUUCUUCUACGCUGUCAGGAAGGGAGUCAAACCCGGAGUCUACAAGUCAUGGGAAGAGUGUAAGAUCCAGGUGGACAAGUUUCCAGCUGCGUCGUUUAAGAAGUUUGGAUCAGAACGAGACGCCUGGGCGUUCUUCAGAGGAGAAGACCCGUCUGCGGUUCCGGACCACAGCACAGGGACCUGGCCUGGAGAGACGGACGUCUCUCUGCUCCCCAGACGGGGCCCAGAACCGGUGGAGUGCAUCCCGCUAGGAAAGAAGAGGCCCCGCCCAGAGGAGGAGGCGGAGCUUCAGCCUAAACGAGCCAAGCCAUCAGAGAGCUCGUUAGCAGGAAGCAGUGAUGGGUUCACCUACAUGGGUGAUGCGGUGGUGGUGUACACCGACGGCUGCUGCUCAGCCAACGGGCAGGACCGGGCUCGGGCCGGGAUCGGGGUGUACUGGGGCCGGAACCACCCACUAAAUGUUGCAGAGCGGCUGCAGGGGCGGCAGACCAAUCAGAGAGCAGAGAUUCAGGUAAGACCCGCCCAUCACAUCCCGCCUCAGAAUCACCGUCCAAUCAACACGAGAACAGAGUGCGGCUUUAAAAACAGUUGGAACCUGAUUGGUCAGAAUGAACUGGUACAGUGCCCUCUAGUGGUUCAACUGCUUCAGUGCAGCAAAAUCCUUUUAUUUCUUCCUGUUUGGGGAUGAUGUACUUUCAUUUGUUUCAUUGUUCAAUUAAAAUAAUUAAUACAAUUCUGAGUCUAACAAGAGCUUAAAUUUUAAACAGAAUGAAAAUUUAAUGAAUUAGUCUUAGAAUUAAACAAAAUGUCUGAAGUUAAAAAGACUCGUCACUCUGCGUGUAAACCAACACUCAGUUUACCUGUUAACUGACUUGUUAAUGACUCAUUAGUGGUUAACGACUCGAUACCUGGUCAUUAACCAGGUAACUGGUCACUGACUAGUUAACUAGUUAGUGAAUCGUUAGUGACUCGUUAGCUGGUUAGUUAGUCGUUAGCUAGUUAAUGACUUGUUAGUUACUCGUUAGCUGGUUAAUGACUUGUUAGUGACUCGUUAGCUGGUUAAUGACUCAUUAGUGACUCGUUAACUGGUUAGUGACUCGUAAGUAACUCGGUAGCUGGUUAGUGACUCAGUUGCUGGUUAAUGACUUGUUAGUGACUCGUUUAGCUGGUUAGUGACUCGGUAAUGUCUCCGCCCCCAGGCGGCCUGCAGGGCUCUGGAACUGGCCCGGCAGAACCACCUCCAGAAGCUGGUUCUCUACACUGACAGCAAGUUCACCAUCAACGGUGUGACCACCUGGGUGAAGACCUGGAAACUGAACGGCUGGAGGCUGAAGUCUGGCGGUCCGAUCACCAA